GUCCACGCUGUAACGAUGAGCGCUAGGUGUUGCGGGUGUUGACCCCUGCAGUGCCGAAGCUAACGCAUUAAGCGCUCCGCCUGGGAAGUACGGCCGCAAGGCUAAACUCAAAGGAAUUGACGGGGCCCGCACAAGCGGUGGAGCAUGUGGUUUAAUUCGACGCAACGCGCAGAACCUUACCUGGUCUUGACAUCCUAGGAACCUGCCAGAGAUGGUGGGGUGCCCGCAAGGGAGCCUAGAGACAGGUGCUGCAUGGCUGUCGU
rnacentral:rRNA from 1 species